rnacentral:rRNA from 1 species
GACGAACGCUGGCGGCGUGCUUAACACAUGCAAGUCGAACGGUGAAGCGCCUUCCUUUUUGGUGGGUGUGGAUGAGUGGCGAACGGGUGAGUAACACGUGAGUAACCUGCCCCCUUCUUCUGGAUAACCGCAUGAAAGUGUGGCUAAUACGGGAUAUUCUGGUUCUGUCGCAUGAUGGGUCUGGGAAAGAUAUUGUUUCGGUGGGGGAUGGGCUCGCGGCCUAUCAGCUUGUUGGUGGGGUGAUGGCCUACCAAGGCGGUGACGGGUAGCCGGCCUGAGAGGGUGGACGGUCACACUGGGACUGAGACACGGCCCAGACUCCUACGGGAGGCAGCAGUGGGGAAUAUUGCACAAUGGGCGCAAGCCUGAUGCAGCGACGCCGCGUGAGGGAUGGAGGCCUUCGGGUUGUGAACCUCUUUCGCCAGUGAAGCAGGCCUGCCUCGUUUGUGGGUGGGUUGACGGUAGCUGGAUAAGAAGCGCCGGCUAACUACGUG